CUGUUAGUUAGUGACGGGUGGGUCUGUUAGUUAGUGAAGGUUGGUCUGUUGUUAGUGACGGGUGGGUCUGUUGGUUAUGACGGGUCGGUCUGUUGUUAGUGACCAGUGUGUCUGUUGGGUGGUUAGUGGGUUGGUUAUUGACCGGCCUGCUUCUGUCUGGUAGAACGUGGUCGCUCGGCUUCAGGGUGAGGAUUGACUCACAUGAAGGCUGUGACUCCUCCCACCUGUUGAAUGACAUGGUCCCUAUACAGCCUGUGGUCCUCACUGUGAGGGUUAGGGUUAGGGUUAGAAGGUAGGGUUAGAAGGUCCUCACUGUGAGGGUUAGGGUUAGGGUUAGAAGGUCCUCACUGUGAGGGUUAGGGUUAGGGUUAGAAGGUCCUCACUGUGAGUGUGUGAGGGUUAGGGUAAGAAGGUAGGGUUAGAGCAGGGGUUCUCUAAGUUUUGACAGCUGAGGGGCCAAUUUAGGAACACAAAAUUUGACUGAGGGCCGCCAAAGGAAAGGCGGGAAACGCUGUCAGCAUUCCAGUGGUGAAAAAAGCAUUGCACCGUGGACCUCUGGGAGUGAGGUCUAAAUCAUUAACUGAGGUUCAUCCUUUCAAAGUAAUGUACAGUCGGAUUAAAACGAAUACAUGUAACAGGAUUUGAUUGAAAGCUAGAGAGAGUCGACUUUCCUCUUCAUAUUUAUUAUUUUUUGUUUAAAUUAAAGGUUGGGGUAUGGGAUUUGUGAAACGCCAGCAGAUUUUGAAAACACACAACUCAAAUGCUCCUACCCCCUCUCCUUCAACGCUGACUCUGACUCCACCCAUUCCAAGUACAUGGACGCGCAAUCAUAAUAAUAAUCAAUUUUAUUUGAGGGUGUUUUCAUAGCACUCAAGGACACCUAACAGGGCAGUGUUAAAAAAAUCAAAUAAAAUCAACAAAAAUAAAAAAAACAUAAGAUACAUUGAAACAAUUUACACAAGUGAGGUGAAAUGGGUGGGAGACAAUGAAUUAGAUCGAAAAUGUCUGUUUAAAAAGAUGUGUUUUUAGACGGGACUUAAAAGUGGAAAAGUGGAAUCAUGCACGAGCAAACAGAUGCGCGAGAGCGAGCCAUUAGCUAGUUAGCUAGCUCCAGUAGCUACCGCAGGAUAACAACAAACAGAAGCUUGCUCUGGGUCACGAGCUUUGAGUACGUGCACGAAGGGGUCACGCGCGGGGGGAGGGGGAGUGCAGUACGACCGUUUGAUUGACGUACUUACUGUCCAAUGCCACUCGGUGGGUCUGGAAAUCAUUGGCUGGAGUUUUUCGAGCCCUGCCCGUUCCACAGAUGAUUGACUUGUUUAAUUUCCAUGUCAGUACUUCUAACUCAGUGUCUGUAAGUGGGUUAUAAUAAGGAUUUCAAGUAAUUUUGCAAAAAUGGCCUAAAAAGAGAAUUCCAUACCCAACCUUUAAUAUUGAUUCAAUAAUAAAAAUAUAUAUAUUAUUAUUUAUUUAUUUUACUUACAUCUGUAAGUCAUUGCGGGCCGCCAGGAAUGUUUCUGCGGGCCGCCAUUGGCCGCACUUUGAGAACCAAUGGGUUAGAAGGUCCUCACUUUGAGUGUGUUAGGGUUAGGGUUAGAAGGUCUUCACUGUGAGUGUGUGAGGGUUAGGGUUAGAAGGUCUUCACUGUGAGUGUGUUAGGGUUAGGGUUAGAAGGUCUUCACUGUGAGUGUGUGAGGGUUAGGGUUAGAAGGUUAGGGUUAGAAGGUAGGGUUAGAAGGUCUUCACUGUGAGUGUGUGAGGGUUAGGGUUAGAAGGUCUUCACUGUGAGUGUGUGAGGGUUAGGGUUAGAAGGUCUUCACUGUGAGUGUGUGAGGGUUAGGGUUAGAAGGUCUUCACUGUGAGUGUGUGAGGGUUAGGGUUAGAAGGUUAGGGUUAGAAGGUAGGGUUAGAAGGUCUUCACUGUGAGUGUGUGAGGGUUAGGGUUAGAAGGUUAGGGUUCGAAGGUCUUCACUGUGAGUGUGUGAGGGUUAGGGUUAGAAGGUUAGGGUUCAAAGGU